GAUCCUGGGCUCAGGAUGAACGCUAGCGACAGGCUUAACACAUGCAAGUCGAGGGGCAGCAUGAGGUAGCAAUACCUUGAUGGCGACCGGCGCACGGGUGAGUAACGCGUAUGCAACCUGCCCGAUACCGGGGUAUAGCCCAUGGAAACGUGGAUUAACACCCCAUAGUACUUUUAUCCUGCAUGGGAUGUGAGUUAAAUGUUCAAGGUAUCGGAUGGGCAUGCGUCCUAUUAG
rnacentral:rRNA from 1 species